CCUACGGGAGGCAGCAGUGAGGAAUAUUGGUCAAUGGGCGCGAGCCUGAACCAGCCAAGUAGCGUGAAGGAUGACUGCCCUACGGGUUGUAAACUUCUUUUAUAAAGGAAUAAAGUGAGGUAGGUAUGCCAUUUUGUAUGUACCUUAUGAAUAAGGAUCGGCUAACUCCGUGCCAGCAGCCGCGGUAAUACGGAGGAUCCGGGCGUUAUCCGGAUUUAUUGGGUUUAAAGGGAGCGUAGAUGGGUUGUUAAGUCAGUUGUGAAAGUUUGCGGCUCAACCGUAAAAUUGCAAUUGAUACUGGCAGUCUUGAGUACAGUAGAGGUAGGCGGAAUGCGUGGUGUAGCGGUGAAAUGCUUAGAUAUCACGAAGAACUCCGAUUGCGAAGGCAGCUUACUGGACUGCCACUGACGUUGAGGCUCGAAAGUGUGGGUAUCAAACAGGAUUAGAUACCCGAGUAGUC
rnacentral:rRNA from 1 species